CUGGGCCCGUCAGCCUGCCACCCUAACAGCGCCCGCACGAGAGCCAGGUGCCGGCCGCGACCCUGCUGCCCACCCGCGGCUUCUCACCUCGCCUCAUUACACGCCUGCCUGGCUGCCUCGCAUAGUGUAGCAAAUGCCUGCUUGGUGUGGCACUCUGUUCCCACUACUGAAGGUUCCGUCAGCUAGAGAUUGCUCUACAAAUAACAAAUUGAGAAGAAAAGAACAUAACUCACUUGAAUGACCCAAAGUCUCCUCAUGGAAAUACUCAUCUACCGUAAAUUGGGAGCAAUGAGACAAAUCACUGAAAUGUUUUCUUGGCUGAGUGAA